rnacentral:lncRNA from 1 species
AUACACUCCGAUUCUAGGUUCGGAUCAACCUUCCCUUAUUUUGAAAUCCUUCCAAAACAAAAAUAAUAACUCAAAAUGAGAAUAACAAUCAAUAGCAGAAAAUAAGUACAAAGAAAGCUCCUUUAAUGAGCGAAUAUGACUUUAAAUACACUUUACUCAAGAGAAGAAGACCCUUUUUGGAUUUUCUCAAGGUGGUUGGAGACUUGAAUGUGCACU